ACCCUUUCAAACUUUUCCAGAGGAAGUGUGUGGCAGUGGUCAUAUAGAGCCCUCAUCAGACUAGACUAGGUUCAACAAUCAUUUCAACCACCAACUAUUAUGCAACCUUACUUUUCUUCUUUAUCUUUCCAAUCGAAGUCAUUUGUUUAUGGAGGAGGUGAGGACGAUGAUGAAGGAACUGCGAAACCCAUUUUGACGGAGCUUCAAGAGGAGUUCGAGAACUGGGGAUCUCUAAUGGUUAUGGGGCUCGCGACAUCGCUAUUUGUGGAGAUGCCAGGGUUCACGACGGUGGCGUUUCGCGUAGGCACUGGGUUCGACAGUGUUGUCCACAGAGGUUCCUCAUGACGGCGUGACUCGGUGAUGGUAGGAAGGUGGCUUUGUGGAACCAUGGUUGUGUCUAGGAGAAGUUCUACACUGAUGAUUGCAUCUAUCUUAUUUCUCUUUUAAAGGGCGUUUUCUCUUUUCCUGCAUGAAUUUUUUCCAAGCACAGUUUGGAGAGAAGCACUGACACCAGCAUGAAUUUCUUCAAUAAUCAGCAUUGUAUUCUUCCCCUGAGAUAUACUAUCUUGGACUGCCUAUCAUAUGUUCGACUUAUUAGUAUCAGUUGCUGGAAAUUGUCAUGAAGUGAAACCACUCUUUUUAUUGAUGCAAAGUUUGCGAUUCUCUGGUUUCUCUAGCUGAUAUUAGGGAGAGUAUGUAUAGUUCAAAAUCAUUGAAAGAUGAUAUUGAGGCAUUAGGUGGUUGUAAUUCAGUUAGAGGGAUAAAACACUCAGUUAGAGGGAGAAAACACUGGAUGAUUCUUUGGUGCUGCGAAUCAGCGAAAGGAAGAUCCUUCAAUCGGAAAUUAUGCUUCACAGUCAUAAAUCUAAAAUCACUAUUCAUAGGUCCGCAAGGAUGUUUUUGAAAAGGACAACAAAGAGAGUUGAUUAUCUUUUA